UUAUAGCCCGCCUGCCUGGGUCUGAAUCCCUUUUCUGCCACUUACCAAGUUAUGUGGCCUUGGGCAAGCUAUCUGACUGCACUGUGUCUUACUCUCCCCUCUGCAAGUUGAGGAAAAUAUUAAUAGAACCAACUUCAUAUGGUUAAUGUGAAGAUUAAAUUAGUUAAUAUUUGUAAUAUGCUUAGUUUUUUACAUGGCACAUACUAAACUAUACAAGUGCUUAUCAAAUAAAUGGUCCUUAAACUCCGGACAGGCUAAGUUUUAAUUUUGUAAGAGGGAGAGGCCAGGGAUAUGCUGGGAAGAACCCAGUCCUGGAGUGUCCCUAUCUGUAGGCUGUGCCUCUACCCCGUAGUUCUGCGUCAUGAAAUUGUCUUCAGGUCAGAUGGACCUAAUCUACUAUUGCUGAAAAGAAGGCCCGCCUUCUGGAAGUGAGAAGAAAUGUCAGCACCCGUGUGAUAAGAUAGGUUCCAGUCCAUCAACAGGUGUGUCCUGAGCAUCUGUCCUGCUUGGGGCUUGGAACUGUGCUGGGUGGUGCUGAAGAAGCAAAAGCAUCCUCCGAAAUGCUCCAUCGUAAAUUACAUGACCUCAUGUUGGAAUGGGGGUUGAGGUCACUUCCAGCCCUUGGAGGUUUAAGCAAUAGUCGUGCUGCUUAUGCAAGAGAGGAAGCAGAGCUGUAUUAGUGGCUUCUGAUACCCUCCUCCAAGCUCUGCCAGCCCCAGCACUGCCAGCCUGCCUCUCUUGGCAUUGGCCCCCGCCGCCUGCACCUGCCCUCAGCCACUCCACAGUGGUCACAGAGCACCCACUGUGUGCCUGGCACUGUGCCAGGGGGCGGCGGGAGAGAUGUGGAACGGAAGACCUGGUGCCUGUCCUCAGGGGGCUUGCAGUCCAGCAGGGGAGACGGACUGAGCAGCAAACACCGAAAACCUGCAAGAUUAAAGAAGGGCUAGUUAGAAGCACACACUAGUGCUGAGGGGAUGCCUGGUAAAGGUGAUUCCUUCUGAUGGGGCUGGGAGGGGUCAGGGAAGGCUUCUCAGAGGAGGAGGCACUUGAGCUGGCUUUGAAGGAUGGGUAGCGUUUUGAUAGCUCUGUGUGUGUGUGUGUGUGUGCGCGUGCGCGCACGCAAGAGCAAGCGUGUGUGAACAGGAGCAAGAGGUGGGGCGGGAGAGAGGGAGAAAUACAGGUGAGAAGAUAGGAAAAGUGGUAAUUUCAGAGUCAUGGUCAUAAAAUUAGAGGAGGCGGGGUAUAUAGGCUUUAUGAGUGAGGUGGAUUUGAACUGGGUAAUCUGGGCAAAAUGAGGACUUUUUAAACAUUUAUUUUUAAAUUCACGUACAGCAAAAUUUACUCUUUCUAGCGUACAGUUCUCUGGGUUUUGACAACUGCAAAGUGUUGGGUAUUCUCCAGCACGGUCAAGGUACAGAAUGGCUCCAUCUCCCCCAAAGAUUCCCUCAUGCUGACACCCCUUUGUUGUCUGUCCGUCUGUCCCCCUCCCCCUGUCCCCGACCCAUGCCCAUCCCCUGACAACAUGGCUCUGUCCACUCCUGUCAUUGUGCCUUUUCAAGAAUAUCAGAUGGAGUCAUACAGUAUGUGGCUUUUGGGUCUGCUUCUUUCACUCAGCAUGGUGCCUUGAGUCACCCAGUUGUGUGUAUCAAUAGCUUGUUCCUUUUCUUGCUGUGUAGGACUCCAUUAUAUGCAUACACUGCAGUGUGCUUAUCCAGUCACUGGUGGACGGACUGUAGGUUGUUUCCAGCCUUUGUUGAUUUUGAAUAAAGCUGUUGUGAACAUUUGUGUGCAGGUUUCUAUGUGGACACAGGCCUUCAUUUCUCUUGGAUAAAUAGCAAGGAGUGGGAUUGCGGGUCCCCACGGUGGCGAACGUGCGACGGGUUAAGACACGCGCCGCUGUUGGCGUAAGCGUACCGCUCUGCAAUGGUACCGGCGACGCGGGAGCGUUCUGGUGCUCCGAUUCUUCAACAGCACUUGAGUUCUUUAAUAUUCUGGAUACAAGUCCCUUGUCGGAUGUGCGAUUUACACAUUUUUGGAGAAAAUUCAUUUAAGGAGAAAAUCUCCACAAGAAGAUGUUGGGUGUGAACGACUCUGAAAGCAAGGAAAGAGUUUGGUUGGUGUCCUGAGCCUUGGCCUUUCUUCAGGGGACCCAGGUCCAACGGGCGCUCCUCCAAGCGGAGCCUUGGAGGGCAAGGCCGGCACCAUUACCUCCAACGAGUGGAGCCCUCCUAACUCCCCUGAGGGGAGCAACGUCUCUGGGGGCAGUCAGGCGUUGGACAAGCCCAUUGACAAUGACGCGGAGGGUGUGUGGAGUCCGGACAUUGAGCAGAGCUUCCAGGAGGCCCUGGCCAUCUACCCGCCUUGUGGCCGGCGCAAGAUCAUCCUGUCAGACGAGGGCAAGAUGUACGGUAAGGAGCCUGUUGGGGUGGGGUGGCAGGCCCCUGCCCUCAUGGUUCAGUUCUGGAAAUAAGGCCCAGGCAUGGGGUGGGCACAGCACCCUUGGGUUCUCCAAGUAAUGGAAGUGGGAACGACCACGGGGGCAUUUAUCGGGU